AGUGAACGCUGGCGGCAGGCCUAAUACAUGCAAGUCGAACGGCAGCACAGUGGAGCUUGCUCCCUGGGUGGCGAGUGGCGGACGGGUGAGGAAUACAUGGGAAUCUGCCCAGUCGUGGGGGAUAACGUAGGGAAACUUACGCUAAUACCGCAUGCGCCCUUCGGGGGAAAGCCGGGGACCUUCGGGCCUGGCGCGAUUGGAUGAGCCCAUGUUCGAUUAGCUAGUUGGCGGGGUAAAGGCCCACCAAGGCGACGAUCGAUAGCUGGUCUGAGAGGAUGAUCAGCCACACUGGAACUGAGACACGGCCCAGACUCCUACGGGAGGUAGCAGUAGGGAAUAUUGGACAAUGGGCGCAAGCCUGAUCCAGCCAUGCCGCGUGAGUGAAGAAGGCCCUCGGGUUGUAAAGCUCUUUUGUCCGGGAAGAAAAGCAUCGGGCUAAUACCUCGGUGUUCUGACGGUACCGGAAGAAUAAGCACCGGCUAACUUCGUG
rnacentral:rRNA from 1 species